GCACCACCGCACCCGGCCAGAUCUUCAUAUAUCUAAGAUCCCGUCAAGAAGUCAUGGUAAAUCUCAUCAUGAUCAAGAACGAGACUUUGCUUGCGUCCAGGCUUCCCAAAAGUUGUUUGGUAGUAUACAGGCAUGAGGUGGUGUGACUCUAGUUCAUUAGAUGCCUUCGUCUUUUCAGU